GAGACUGGUUUCAUCUACUCCAUGUGC
rnacentral:piRNA from 1 species